CAGUUCUACCUUCGAAAUACGACCUGCACUGCUGCCAACCUCCACCCACCGCCGCCUCCAGUUUGGAUGGUCCUGUGACAAAGCAAAGGACCCAGUCCACUCUGCUGGUGGAUUCCUGACCUACAGAACGCCUGGAGUCCGUCUCAGAAGCAGCCCCAAUCUAACCAGACCGGCCGAAGGUAA